AUUGAACGCUGGCGGAAUGCUUUACACAUGCAAGUCGAGCGGCAGCGCGGGGGCAACUCUGGCGGCGAGCGGCGAACGGGUGAGUAACAUAUCGGAACGUACCCUGUCGUGGGGGAUAACUAUCCGAAAGGAUAGCUAAUACCGCAUACGACCUGAGGGUGAAAGCGGGGGACCGCAAGGCCUCGCGCGAUAGGAGCGGCCGAUAUCGGAUUAGCUAGUUGGUGAGGUAAAGGCUCACCAAGGCGACGAUCCGUAGCGGGUCUGAGAGGACGACCCGCCACACUGGAACUGAGACACGGUCCAGACUCCUACGGGAGGCAGCAGUGGGGAAUUUUGGACAAUGGGGGCAACCCUGAUCCAGCCAUUCCGCGUGAGUGAAGAAGGCCUCGGUUGUAAGACGUCUUCUAGUCAGGAACGAAACGGUAGAGGGUUAAGUACC
rnacentral:rRNA from 1 species